CCUACGGGAGGCUGCAGUGGGGAAUAUUGGACAAUGGGGGGAACCCUGAUCCAGCCAUGCCGCGUGUGUGAAGAAGGCCCUCGGGUUGUAAAGCACUUUCAGUGAGGAAGAACGCCUGGUGGUUAAUACCCAUCAGGAAAGACAUCACUCACAGAAGAAGCACCGGCUAACUCCGUGCCAGCAGCCGCGGUAAUACGGAGGGUGCGAGCGUUAAUCGGAAUUACUGGGCGUAAAGCGCGCGUAGGUGGCUUGAUAAGCCGGUUGUGAAAGCCCCGGGCUCAACCUGGGAACGGCAUCCGGAACUGUCAAGCUAGAGUGCAGGAGAGGAAGGUAGAAUUGCCGGUGUAGCGGUGAAAUGCGUAGAGAUCGGGAGGAAUACCAGUGGCGAAGGCGGCCUUCUGGACUGACACUGACACUGAGGUGCGAAAGCGUGGGUAGCAAACAGGAUUAGAUACCCGUGUAGUC
rnacentral:rRNA from 1 species